rnacentral:rRNA from 1 species
CCUACGGGAGGCAGCAGUGGGGAAUAUUGCACAAUGGGGGAAACCCUGCUGCAGCAACGCCGCGUGAGUGAGGAAGUAUUUCGGUAUGUAAAGCUCUAUCAGCAGGGAAUAGAAAAGAAGGUACCUGAAAAAGAAGCCCCGGCUAACUACAGGCCAGCAGCCUCGGUAAUACGUCGGGGGCAAGCGUUAUCCGGCUUUAAUGGGUGUCAAGGGAGCGUAGACGGAAAGGCAAGUCAGAAGUGCACACCCAAGGUUCAACCAUGGGACUGCUUUUGAAACUGUCAAACUAGAGUACGGGAGGGGUAAGAGGAAUUCCGAGUGUAGCGGUGAAAUGCGUAGAGAUUAGGAGGAACACCAGUGGCGAAGGCGUCUUACUGGACCGAAACUGACGUUGAGGCUCGAAAGCGUGGGGAGCAAACAGGAUUAGAUACCCUUGUAGUC